rnacentral:rRNA from 1 species
UACGAAGGGGGCUAGCGUUGCUCGGAAUCACUGGGCGUAAAGCGCACGUAGGCGGCUUUUUAAGUCAGGGGUGAGAUCCUGGAGCUCAACUCCAGAACUGCCUUUGAUACUGGGAAGCUUGAGUCCGGGAGAGGUGAGUGGAACUCCGAGUGUAGAGGUGAAAUUCGUAGAUAUUAGGAAGAACACCGGUGGCGAAGGCGGCCCACUGGAUCGGUACUGACGCUGAGGUGCGAAAGCGUGGGGAGCAAACAGG